AAGAGAACGGCAUCAAUGCCGAUGGGUUGAGGAAGUUUAAGGAUAAGAGGAGGAAUUUCUUCAUCAAAGGAAGGAAAUGAAACAGAGGAUCGCCAGGAAGUGCAGACAGAGCGAAAUCGGAGAACAUCGACACGAAAAUCGAGGCAUUUGGAGAUAGUUUCCAAAAGCUCCUUGGGAAGAUCGGUCCACCUGCUCAUCUUUGAAGAAAUUGGCAGAUGAAGCAGCUGGAUGUAGAAGCUUU
rnacentral:misc_RNA from 1 species